AGAGCGAAUGCUGGCGGCAUGCUUAACACAUGCAAGUCGCACGGUCAGCAAUGGCAGUGGCGGACGGGUGAGUAACACGUAGGAAUCUAUCCUGGGGUGGGGGACAACAGUGGGAAACUACUGCUAAUACCGCAUGAUACCUGAGGGUCAAAGGCGCAAGUCGCCUUGGGAGGAGCCUGCGUCUGAUUAGCUUGUUGGUGGGGUAAAGCCUACCAAGGCUACGAUCAGUAGCUGGUCUGAGAGGAUGAUCAGCCACAUUGGGACUGAGACACGGCCCAAACUCCUACGGGAGGCAGCAGCGGGGAAUAUUGGACAAUGGGCGAAAGCCUGAUCCAGCAAUGCCGCGUGUGUGAAGAAGGUCUUCGGAUUGUAAAGCACUUUUGGCAGGGACGAUGAUGACGGUACCUGCAGAAUAAGCCCGGCUAACUUCGUGCCAGCAGCCGC
rnacentral:rRNA from 1 species